rnacentral:rRNA from 1 species
AUACGUAGGGGGCGAGCGUUGCCCGGAAUGAUUGGGCGUAAAGGGCGCGUAGGCGGCCCGGUAAGUCUGGAGUGAAAGUCCUGUUUUUAAGAUGGGAAUUGCUUUGGAUACUGUCGGGCUUGGGUGCAGGAGAGGUAAGUGGAAUUCCCAGGGUAGCGGUGAAAUGCGUAGAGAUUGGGAGGAACACCAGUGGCGAAGGCGACUUACUGGACUGUAACUGACGCUGAGGCGCGAAAGUGUGGGGAGCAAACAGGAUUAGAUACCCUGGUAGUCCACACUGUAAACGAUGAAUGCUAGGUGUAGGGGGUAUCGACCCCUUCUGUGCCGCAGUCAACACAAUAAGCAUUCCGCCUGGGGAGUACGGCCGCAAGGUUGAAACUCAAAUGAAUUGACGGG